UUUGUUAAAGAGAAGCUGAAGUCUGCAAAUGAAUCUGCAAAAAAGGGGCCUUUUUUCAACACUAUUUGUUUUCACAGUGCAUUGCUAAUUAUGCAGCAGAAACUUGUUAGUCAUAAUUUCUUCCGAGGAAAAAAGGUAAGUGGUGAGUAUUUUUCAUGCUUUCUCUACAAAAUAAAAAUGCCUGCAACAUAUGCUCAUCUGUGAAUAACUGGGCCCAGAAAAAGAGAAUUCCACAUCCAGGGGAAAAUACAAAAUCAGUAGCAAAGCCAUUGUUGUUAUUAGGAAGAGUUCACUUUCGAAUUCUGAAAUCUGAGCAGACCAUUUCACUCAUUUUUAUGUGUUAAAACUGCAUAAGCAGUUUUGUAUAUUAAGAAGUAUUGAAAGAUUGUGUUCAUCUGAGAAAAAAAGCCGAUUUUAUAUCAAAAGUUUUCUACAGAUUAAUUAGCCCUUCUCAUGAGUUAAUUUCUUUCUUUGUCUAGAUCAAUAUAAAUUAAACCAUUACAUUUCUUUUAUGCUGAAGAAUUCUCUCCUGAACCUUAUAAGGAGGGAUACCAUACUGGAAAUGUUACUGGUAACAGAAAGAAUUAAGCCACCAGUUCUGUGAAUUUACACAGCCUCUUGUUCCAGGAACUCUUGCAAGUAAUUCGGAAAGAAGCAACUCUUACUUUGUGAGGCCAAUCUUCAUUGAAUUCUCAAGGAAUGAUGUAACCGAGCAGUGCUUGGAUCCUGUUAACUGUCAGAAAUGGUUCUCCACAAGAAUUUGUUGCCAACCAUGCUGUCCUGACUGACCAGAGACUUCCAAUUUAUUGCAAAUAUGGAGUACUAGACAAAAUUGUAUAUGGAUGAGUAAGAAGUUUAAGCCCAAGAUGAAUCAGCCUUUUAAUAUUUUUAAACAAUACAUAAAGUAAAAUACAAGCUAUAUUGUUAACUUGCGAUUGUACCACUGUUUUGUACAUAGUUCCCCCUUUCCAUAAAAGUCUUUUUAAUCUGAAAUUUGGGUCCAAGUUCAACACAAUAUCCACUAGACACUCGGAGAUUUACAGCACUGAUUCCACUGGGAACACUGCAUAUAUCCUGUUGUGGAGCUGAGUGGUAGUACUGAGCACUGGAAUGGUUAAGGAUGAGCUGAGGAUGUCUUGCGGUAAAGGCUGCCUAAAUAUGUUUGAAUUAUUAGUGGGUUAGCACAAAAAGGAGGAGAAGCUACUUAAGCAUUUCUUACCCUGUUCAAAUUAUUUAUCAAGUUCAGCCAAAGUUGAAUGUUAUGUUCAAUGCACUUCAAGUUUUAUAGGUGGUAUGGGGAUAGAUACAUGAAUGGCUGUGUUACUUUUGCUUGUAUUCAGCAGUUGCUAGCCUUCUUUUGCUCAUUAUCAAAAGUUGGUCCCUAGGGGUCUCAACUAUUUGGGACACAUACAUUUAGCAACACCCUUAUGUUAAUAUGGCUCUCCUGAGGUUGCAGCUGGGACACAGAGUUUCUGUAGCUGCUUGUGAUUAGAUUAAGAUUUUUCUCUUGCCAGCUUUAACUUCUGAUGUCACUGUAGACACACAGAGCCUGUUUUUAAUUCUUUUGCCCACUUACAUUCUGGAGACAUCUCAAGAGGAAGAUAGUUUCUUGACUUUUUCUUUUUGAUUAUUUCUGCUUCCAUUGAUAGGUAUUUACUGUAAAGAAUCUUAAACUGCUGUUCUUCUUGAAGAAAUGACAGGAUUAUAUUCACAUCUACUGUCACUUGUCUUGCCAUUUUUUGUGAAAAAGGAAAGCAUGUUCACUAGUAAGUUCAGUAGUAUUUGCAUUGAGAUUCCAACUGAUUUGUUCUUAUAACGGCUACUUACCUUGCUUCAGUUCAAAUCUGAACUGCUAGUGUAAACUGACUAAAUACAAAUGAGUUUUGAAUCAAUUUAUUUUAGCUGAGGUAAGGAGAAGGCAUACUGGAAGAGCAUCUCUGCCACUUUGAGGGAGUGUACAUUAGGGGACUGUAGUCUCCAGCACUGAGAUGGCUAGAUUUCAAAACAGACAUUCAGUGUCUGUGAGUGUUGUAAGCCUAUAGAGACACAAUUAGGUGUCGUAAAAUCCUGUGCUUUCAAAGAGAGUCUUCUGCUAAUGUUGAGCAUUUACUUGACAUGUCUAGAUAUGAUUUUCCUGUGUCCACCAGGAAUAGUUGUAGAGCUGUGCAGUCUUUCAAAAUUCUGGUAUUUCUUGUUGCUGAAAGUGGUACUUUAUUUCACAUUUACCAUGCGACAGGAAGCUGUCACACUGUCCUCAGAUUUCUUUUGCAGUGUUCAUUACAGUGGCCCCAAAACAGGCACAUCUGCUAUGUUGUGACUGCUUAAUGCAGCCUGUUUUUUGUCUGCAUUGUUUGGGUACACCUUUACAUCUGUGAAGACAUGCAGAAACUGUGGCUAUUGAGUGAAGAAUCACUGAGUGCUUCCUCAGGUGGUGAGUUGUACACUCUGACAAAGGACAGGCAGGAGAGGUAUAAGGCUAUAAAGAAGUUCUGUUAAUAAGUGAAUUGGUGAAGCUCCACACCUACGAAAGAAAAAAAAAUCUGCCAUUAAUUUAUUUGAAUGUAUUUAUUGCUUGCAACAAUUUUUUAUAGGUGAAAAGUAGCUUCAUUCUGCUUAGUGCUCUCCUUGUUAAGAUCCCUCAAAAAUUGUUUCAUUCACAUUAUUCUUAUUGUAUUUUUUUCUGGAAAGAUCUGAAGAAGUUCUGUGAGGUUUUUACUUCUGUCAUAAAGGGCUACCAGAACAUUGCAUGUGAAAUGUGAAGGAAAUUUACUACAUAUCUGUAACAUUUGUUUUAUUACAUUUGCAAAUUUACACUUGCUGGAAGAACAAGCAAUUUAGACAUUGCUAUUUCUGCAGUGUCCCUGGAUUCCAAGGCCAUGACUAUGGGGAUAGCAGAGACGUUAUCAACCUCCAACAACAAUCUGAAAUAAUGUUUAACAAUUAAAUACAUAAAUAAUGAGGCAACAGCUUUUUGUCUUCUCUCACUAUAAACUUUAGAGCUGGUUAGAUUGUCUGUCGUUUGACAACCAGACUUUUAUUUACUAAUUAACUAAGUACAGUGCUGUGGUCGUAUCUUCCUUCUAUCCUUGAAACUCAGCUCAGAGAGAAGAAAAACACUGAACUGGCCACAUGAAAACACAUGAGCUGUUUUGUUAAAAACAGCUGUUUCCUCCAAGCAAAUGAAUCAGAGAUGGUUAUACAAUUUCUUUUCUACCAUCCUUUCACGUUCUUUUUCUAGCGCUCAGGACAGGUACUGAGCUUGUUAUGGUGCCCCAGAACUGCUCUUCCUAGCAUGCUGCAUGGAGAGCAAUCCGAAAUACUGCAGACAUACUCAAAAACUGGAUCAGGCCCUUCGGCUGCUGCAUUUGUGUGCAUAAACAACUGAAAGAAGUCUGAGCUGCUCACCUCUUCUCCUCCUUUCUAUUUUACCACCCAGCUGUUAGCAUUCAUGCAGACAGAUUUACAGAUGUGGAGCUGGUCUUUUCAUUGAAUAAAACAUGUCAUGGCUUAGUAAUAGGUAAUACUUAGCAGUUAGGAAAUUUGAUCAAAAUUCCUUUUUCCCUCUCUCUCUUCUUCUCUGUCUUUAACUUUAUAAUAGACACAUUUGGAGAGAACUAUGAAAUAAUUGCUCAGAAUCUGUUUGUUCUUUAGGUUUAGUAUAGAAGAAAGUAAAGUGUAAGUGUAAAGCAUAUAUGCAAUUUUUUUAAAUAAUUUGCACAUGUAUAUUCUUCAUUAUGUUGAUAUUUCCUAUGUGCACUAGUGGCACUAGACUGAGUGCUGAUUGGCAUUCAGUUAUACAGCUAGUAUCUAACCAUUCAGGAAUAAUUAACAAUAAUCUUAUUCUUACCUAUUUUUCUAUUUCCUGCCAUUGAAAAUAGUCAUUAGGAAUAGUAUUCAAUCACUGAACUUGUAUAGUAUGUUUUU